rnacentral:lncRNA from 1 species
AUUGAGACCAUCCUGGCUAACACGGUGAAACCCCGUCUCUACUAAAAAUACAAAAAAAUUAGCCGGGCGUGGCGGCGGGCGCCUGUAGUCCCAGCUACUUGGGAGGCUGAGGCAGGAGAAUGGUGCGAACCCGGGAGGCAGAUUUUGCAGAGAGCCGAGAUCGUGCCACUGCACUCCAGCCUGGGCGACAGAGCAAGACUCCGUCUCAAAACAAAAAACAAACAAACAAAUAUGGAGCAUUCUGAUAUGAAUAAGACACUUGCUCACUUCUCAAUUCCUUGGUGUCCAGCUCUACAAGUGUAUAUAGACUUCCAAAGAAUAUUUAAAUCCUUUAACAAAAAUGCCACCUAAGAAAAUAUGAAAUACUUCAGUCUGUCUGUCAGUGCUCACUUCCUGUCUAGAAACUUUCAGGCUCCGGCACAAAUGAACCAUGUUCUUCGCCUAAGUCAUUUAUGGAACAUCUGCUUUCGGUUUAGCAUCAGCUUUGUGACCUAGUAAUAUCUUUCUCGAGUGCAUGAAACAUCUCAGAAAUGCAAACAUCAAGGAAGAUACUAAUCCUUUCUUCCAGUUUCUGUGUGAGGGUUGGAGGCUGACUUUGGUGGUGAUCUUGCUCCAAAUUAUAGAACUACAUCCUGUCAUGAAGAGAAGUUUGUCUUCUCGAUAAAGCCAAGUAGCUAACAGAGAUGGUCACCCCAAUUACCAGAUGGACAUAAUUAUACUUGAAUGCUGACCUACAACAUUUUGUGCUGUGCAGAGGCUUUGAAAAUCAAACAACUUUGAAAAUACAAAGCACCGCGUGGAUUCUUAUGCUGUAAGGAUGCUGGAUGCGUAGUUUGACCAAUUAUGGCUCUUGAUGUCGACUGAAGUGGUCACUUGAUUCCUAUUAGCAGAGGCUGAAAACUCAAGAAAUGUGGACUAAGUGUGUGGGCAAGUGUGUCACUGCUGACUAAAACUAUGAACAGGUUUGUUUACCAUGAUUCUCUUCUAUUAGGCAGUGAAUGUGUGGCAAAUUGAAAAUGGC